AGCGAACGCUGGCGGUAUGCUUAACACAUGCAAGUCGAGCGCGAAAGUGACUUCGGUCAUGAGUAGAGCGGCGGACGGGUGAGUAACACGUGGAUAAUCUGCCUUUAGGACUGGGAUAACCCUGGGAAACUAGGGCUAAUACCGGAUAAGACCACAGGUUCCAUGGAACCAGGGGUAAAAGGCGGCCUUCGGGCUGUCGCCGAAAGAUGAGUCCGCGUCCCAUCAGGUAGUUGGUGAGGUAACGGCUCACCAAGCCGAAGACGGGUAGCCGACCUUAGCGGGUGAUCGGCCACACGGGGACUGAGACACGGCCCCGACUCCUACGGGAGGCAGCAGUGGGGAAGUACUUGGGUCAAUGGGCGCAAGCCUGACCCAGCAAUACCGCGUGAGGGAUGAAGGCC
rnacentral:rRNA from 1 species